rnacentral:misc_RNA from 1 species
GAUGAAGAACGUAGCGAAAUGCGAUAAGUAAUGCGAAUUGCAGAAUUCAGUGAAUCAUCGAAUCUUUGAACGCACAUUGCGCCCGCCAGUAUUCUGGCGGGCAUGCCUGUCUGAGCGUCGUUUCGACCCUCGCGCCCGGCUUCUGUCGGGGGCGGUGUUGGGGAUCGGCCACACCCUUCAGUGGGAGGCCGGCCCCUAAAUUCAGUGGCGACCACGCUGUAGCCUCCCCUGCGUAGUACUAAAACCACCUCGCAGGCGGAGAGCGGUGCGGCCCGCCGUAAAACCCCCCAACUUUUACAAGGUCGACCUCAGAUCAGGUAGGAAUACCCGCUGAACUUAAGCAUAUCAAUAAGGAGGA